CUAACACCUGAUUGGUCAACUGCUCUCCCGAGUUCUACAGCGCAGCCAGCAACUGGUUCCUGUUCGCCCCGCCCUCUUGUUUAGUUGUUUACGAUGUUGCGUUAUGGAAUAGCGACCGGGAGCUGGUGGAUUCGGCAUAUGGACAUCUUGGAAGGUCCACCACUCAAUUAUUAGAAAGAACAUUUCCUGUUUUGGUGGACUACCAUGUAACGUGUGGUGGGGAACUCUGGAUUGUAUCAGACUCCUGCAGUAAAUAAAAAGAAAGUUUCAAAGUUUCACCAAGAAAGGAUGCAAGUAAUGACAAAAUUUUUCCAGUAUGUUAAAGUAGAAUAUGUCACGGAAAAACAUUCUCGGAAUCAGAAUGAAAGAUCCGUGUAUACUGUGGACUACUUCGGAUUCAGUGUACUACGUCGAUGACCAGCAUUUUUUUUAGUUUAAUGUUAAUAAAAUGGUUAACGAGGGCUUGUGGGAGAGUGUUUUUUAG